GGCAAAACUUGUUUGUAAUGACCAGAAAUUUUCUGUAAAUAAGUUCUUGUCUACAUUUUUCCACAUUUUUCCAGGAUAAAUUAUCAGCAAGGCAUAGCUUUGCUCCCCAUCUAGCCCUUCCACUUUCUUGGCAAUAGUUAUCAAGGUCAGAAGGAGGACCAUAGUGUAUGACCUGUCUCAAACCUUUACAGUCAACGCCCAUGCCAAAAGCGAUUGUGGCAAUAAGUAAUCACUGACCCAUUAGAAUCUGCAAAUGACUUAGAAAUAUAUUCUUUUGCCGCAUCCUCUGUGUUUCCUUGGUAUUUUUUGUAUGGUUUGUUGUCUUGAAAAUGAUCUUUUAACUGACUAUCAAACAAUCUGUACAAUGAACGAGCAGUAUUCAGCCAUUAACAAACAAUGAUAGUUCUUUCUGUACUAUAUGUGUUGGCUUUCAAAUCUUCAAUAAGUGGUUUGAAUAUUUCUUCUAUGUUGUCAUGCUUCAAUGUUAUCAUAGAAUAAUGAAUGUGAGGUGACUGAAUUAUUUGUAGUGGGUUCCUCAAUUCAAGAUUUUUUAUUAUAGAAGCAGUGGUUGCCUUUGUAGCUGUAGCUGUCAUUGGAACAUACAGAAUUUUAUGAUCUACCAUCCAUAUAGAGCGUAUCUCAGCUAGUUGUCCGUACAUAUGACGAAAUCUUCUCAUAUUUUGACUUUGAGUCCCCCUGUACAAAAAAAUAAUGCUUGCUGAGAAGGGUUCAUUUUUCAUAUAAGACACGGAAUUAAAUGUUACAAGCGUUGUAAUUUUAUUACACUUGACAUAGAUUGUUCAAUGAAGUUACCCUAUUAAAGCCUUUUUAUAAGUAUCUUUGAUUUGAGUCAUAACUGAAAGCUUACAACAAUUAAUAUAAGAUGUCAGAAUUUCUUAUGAGAUUUUUAACCAGUUUUAUAACACCUAUGUAUUUACCACCAGCACAUUUCAUGCGGUUUCUGGCAAUUAAUAUGACACAGAAAGCAGGUGAAGUUUAUUUAAAUUAAUAAUAGCUUUAUUCACUUACAAGAAACUGUGUAUCUUUAGUUGAAUUCAAAAUUGAAAACCAUCUAUCGAAAUGUUCAUGAUUACAUAACAAAAUACGACACAUCCCAUUCCCAAGAGACACAAAAAAGGAGAGCAUUGAAGGUUCGACAAAUUAUAACCUCAAGUUCGUUUAGUACUGGUACUAUGAUAAAAAUAUCACCUACCAUUUAACUAUACAAUGACUUUAAUCGAUUACAACACAAGAUAAUCUUCUUUGAAAUUCAGGCGACUUUAAAACACUUCGAAAUUUGUUCGAUAGGAUAUUUUCUGUGGAUCCAAAUAAAAUUUCCAUUCAUGAUUUGUUUUUAGGUCACAUCUGAAUCGGAAAGGGAUAGGCUGCAAAUUUCUUUCUCUGUUAAUCUUCUUACUUGGUGCCGCAUUAAUGAAAUCAGGGGAGAGACUACCAGCACAAAAUGAUCAACGCUCUCGGUUUGUGUAGGCCGUUCCUUCAUCUGCUGUUCCUGAACGGCGAACGGGAGCACCUGGAAAAUGAGAGACUUUCCUGAUCCAGUAGGUGCUGAUACAAAUACAUCUUGCCCUUUCAGAACUGCAUUGCGCUGAAAAACCUCAAGAUUUUCAUGGUCAAGUCUGUUGCCGGUGUCAUAUGCGUUUUGGUACCCUAUGCAAAAGUGUAACAUUGUGAAACGCAAUGUGUUUCAAAUCAAGUGAUUUCACCGUAGUGCGAUAUUAUGACACAUUAUAAUUAACAAAUUGAACACAAUACUUUUUUGUUUAAAAUUUCAUACUUUUUAAUCAAGAAAACUUUGGAGUCGCCACUAAUGUGGUACUUUUUUGCAUAAACUUAACAAGGGAAAUCACAGCACCGUUUCUUGUUAGUACCCCCUUGUUAGAAAUAGUUCGAUUGUUCUUUACAUUCUGAACAUUAUGAAUCAGAACAUUUGUGUUCCCAGACCAGGUCGCAUGCUAAAUUCCACCAUUUGUUUUGGUACCCUAUUGUUUAAGUGCUCGGGUAGGAUUUUGCAUAACCAAAAUUGCCAUGCAUUUGUGUACCCGGACCGUUUUGCAUGCUAAAUUCCACCAUUUGUUUUGGUACCCUAUUGUUUAAGUGCUCGGGUACGAUUUUGCAUAACUAAAAUUGCCAUGCGUUUGUGUACCCGGACCGUUUUGCAUGCUAAAUUCCACCAUUUGUUUUGGUACCUAUUGUUUAAGUGCUCGGGUACGAUUUUGCAUAACCAAAAUUGCCAUGUAUUUGUGUACCCGGACCGUUUUGCAUGUUAAAUUCCACCAUUCGUUUUGGUACCCUAUUGUUUAAGUGCUCGGGUACGAUUUUGCAUAACCAAAAUUGCCAUGCGUUUGAGUACCCGGACCGAAAUGCAUAAGGUUACCGAAACGCAUAUGACACCGGCAACUGAGAUGAAAUCAUUACACGCCGCCAUUGUAGAAUUUCCUGUCUCAACAAACAAGUUUUACUUCUGACCUCCCCCGUCUCUCGUAACAGCUCUCGUAACAGCGUGAGGGCAUCUUGGAUACAUCAAUUAAAAGCUUGCAACAAGAUGAGUCAAAAUAUGUAAUUUGCGUCAAAAAUAACAAUCCAGUAAAGAGCUAGCGAUGAAUUUGUCUGAAUUUUACCCUUAAAUGACGUCAUCAGUCAUGUGACUCCCUACUACAAGAAUCUGUUGAGAAAGCAAACAUUAGCUUGAAUGUUAGAUUGUCAGGCUACAUGUCCUGUUUAUAGCCAAGCCAGCCGCAAAACGUCAUUAUAUAAUCUUCUGCCAUGGAUGGUAACAUUAUUUGUCUCUGCCUUCCUUUCGCUUUCUUGCCUUGAAUUUUUUCUGUCAUUACAAUUUGUUCCAGCUCUUCUUUCCGUAUCACAUGACCAAUAAAUUUGUCUUGUCUUUCUCUGAUGUCUUUCCACAAAGAUCUUGUGUUUUUGUUAUCUAGAAUAUUUCCUCAUAGCUGACAUGUCUUGUCCAAAAGUUUCUUAACAUUUGUCUAAGAAGCCAUAUUUCUGAAGCUUUUAUUCGCUUCCUCAUCGUAAAAGAGACUGUCCAGCACUUGGAACCAUUCGAUUCAUUCUUAUUCUUACUUUGAUAUCUAUUUACAUUUGAUGUCAAUUUACUUUUGAUAUCAAAUUGACAUUUUGAUAUCAUUUUAAAAUCCUUACAUACGGUAACUUCUCUAUAACUAAAUUCGAGCAAAAUGAAGCAAAAUAUAUUGAGCAAAAUGAAGAAUUACUUGAAGAAGUAAAGCAAAUAUACACACCUUUAGGCAAUGAUUCUAUCGUUAUAAAAAAUUUGAUAAAAAAUAUGACAGAAUUUGUAGAUACUGUUGCCACUGAUAUGAACAUUCAACGGGAAGCUAUUCUAUCGGUUAAUUCUGACUUUUAUUUAAGCUUUCAACUUGACGAUUUUGUAUUCAUUUAUAAUUUCUCAUUUAUUAAGCAUGUAUUUAGCUCAACAAGAUACUUUAAGGAAUAUUCCUAACAGCGUAAAAUUUGGUGUAAUAUUUGGGAAUAAGACAUCUGCAUUAGUGUAUGAACGUUUUAAGUAUGACAUAGAGGAAUAUACUAAGGAAAUUAGAGAAUUAUGACGGAGAAAGGAAAAAAUCAAGAAGGAGAAAAUAAUUGAGACUGCAUUUUUAUGAACAUUUGAAAAUAUUUUUUAAAGUUACUUGUUAGUUUUAUAAAUAUUUGAGAUUAUGUAAUUUUUUCGAUUUGAAAAAAAAAUUUAUUCUGGAAAUCUUCUAAUAAACUCUUGUCUGUUUUGAAAACUUCAUGAUCUAAAAAUGUUUCCAAAGGUGUGCUUAAUAUAUUCAUUAUCGUUUCUUUCACUGACUUAUCCUUCAUUUACACCAAACUUUUCAUAAUGAUUUCCAAAGCAGUAAAACCACAAUUAUUAAUUUUACUUUCAUCUGAAAUAUCUGCAUAACUAUGCAGCAACGCCAAAGAUCUAACAUGAGCUUUCAUUAUUGCUAUAUGUAACACUGUAUCACCUUUAUCACUAAUAAAUGGCGCAUUGUUCUCGUUUUACUCAAUCUUGUCGCAAUCAUUAAUGGUUUCACCACUUGUAUUUAUAGAACUGACAUUUGCACCAUUAUCUAUCAUAAAACCUAAUAAUUAUACAUGUUUUAUCAAAGUUCGAACAUCAACUUCAUUUAGAUAAAUAUUAUUCUAUGCAAAGCAGUAUUUUGAUAUAAAUCUUGUUUAUGUAAGACUUCUACAUUUUUCUCAAUAAAAGUCUUAAUUUCUUCCCCAUAAAUAUAUUUUGUUAUUGGUGUUACCAAACAUAAUAUUUCAGGCAAUUGCUCUCUUUGCUUUUAUAAUAAUGGAUGUAUCUGUUCAGUUAAUGUUUGAUUGUUCGAUUGAUUGGCAUCCUCUACCAAAUUUCAAAAAAGAGAUGAGGAGACAUGGCCACCAAAAAAAGGCCCAUCCCCACAAAAUAUCAUGGUACAGAGAAUGAGCUCCGAGCCAAACAGGUCCAAGAAAUACGAGGCACUUGACAGGCGCCAUUUUGUUGACUUUACAAAAUAUGAUGAGCUGUCGAUUGAUAAUGUGAAGGAUGCCUGCCAAAAGUUCUAUGAAAUGCCUGGAGGGUCCUGUGUUGUAGCAGGAAAGAAGUUUUAUCUUGCAACAUUUCUUCCAAAACUUUGCUAUGGCUGUCGAUACCAGAGCAAAAAGGGUUCAUAGCUUUGGAAGAGAUGUUGCAUUAGAUAGCCAAAUAAGUUGUUCACCAAGUUGGGAACAUAGUAUUUCUACCUUGUCCCACUCUAGAAGUGUGCCACACAGAUCAACAAUGCAGCCUGAAGGAAAGGUAAGCCAUCUGGCACCAGUCCCUUCUUCAGCAUUUCCAAAAUCAGGAUCAAUAGCAGACCUUCUAGAUGCAAGAAAAUUUAUCCAGCCACCCAGUGUCACACGAAUGAAACUAGAUCUGAGUGCUUAUGAUGUUGCUGAAACGAUGUGGAAUCCAUCUGGCUCUAUUGCGGUCUGUAAGGAAGACUCACCUUUCCUGAGGGGGAAUUCAGACAUGCAUUUCUUGCCACUUCGGUGAAUUGUGGAGCCAAGAAAAAGUGGGUCAUCAAAGUCACCAAAGAGGAACAUCUAGCAAAAGUAUCAGAAGCUUUCAAUAUCACCAUUGCACAACACACACAAAAGCAAGACUAGAUGCAUGCUGUUGCAAGGAGUAUUACCACAAGUUUCAAUAAAAAGAUUUCUGUAGGAUUUGGUUCAUUUUUUAAAUAUUAGAAGAGUUACUUCUCCACCAUUGAAGGCAACCCUGUCACUGUUGAGGAAUUCAUACCUGGUAAAUUCCAGAAGUAUAUAAACAACACAGGUCAGAUCAGAAAACCAGAGUUAGCUGAAGAUCGAAUCCUUAUAGAAAAGGCAGAAUGUUUGGUGCAUUACACGUAUGUGCACACAAAGAAGGAAUUGAUGGUUUUAGACCUUCAGGGUGUGGAUUAUGUCCUUUGUGACCCAGAGAUCGCCACUGCUACCCUUCAUGAGGAUGGAGAAUUAAUCUUCUGUGCUGGAAAUCUGGUUUUCAAGGCAAUAAGUACCUUUUUUGCUGAACAUUCAUCCAACAAUUACUGCAGGAUGUUAAAUUUGACACAAGAACAAUGGAUUGGAACAUGAUGACUGCAACAUUCAUUUUGAGCAAAACAUUUAGUUUAGUUUGAAACAAAAUUGAUGUUGUUAUAUGAAGCUUUUACCUUUUUCAAUUACAUUUUUUGCCAAUUUUUGGGGAAUAUUUUUCCGCCUCAUAUCCUUUCCUGAUUAAUCCAUAUGGAGUACCCCCCUCACUUGCCUCCUGAUUUUAGCUAUUGAAAGGAGUUUUACUGGAAGUAAACUUAGUCACAGAUGCAUGUUUUAUGAUGCCUUGUUUUUUUGUAAUUAACUACAUGGUAAACAUCUUAUUAGCUUUUUUGUCAGCAAAUUAUUAUAUCUUGCUUUGCUUCGUAACAAAAGGCUGUCCAUCCAAACAAGCAGACUAUUAUUUUUUUAAUAUGCACAAUAAUAAUAAAUUUCUACGACCACUCAAUCAAAACUUGCAUACUGUGUGUAUAAGAAACACUCUUUUGUAUAAUAGCUAGUAGAUCCAUUCAAUCUUUUCUAUCCUGCACAGGUAUUGCAGGCAAAGGAAGACAGAUAAUUUAAUGUUGUGAAACUUCAUUCAGAACAAUACCAUUUAAGAAGGUUAUCAAAAAAGUAAUUUGGUAACCCCUAAAACCAUACAUAAAGAAGUUUGCACACCACAAAACACAGUACAUGUUGUUUAUUGCCUCCCCAUAGAUUUUAUCUGUCAGAAAAUGUUUCAAUAGGUCUUUAUCAUAACAGUGAUAGCACAAGCAGUUCUACAGACAGAAGAUCUGUAAAAGCAUGAGUUCGCCGGUGUGUAAUUGCUCUUUGUCUAUAAAAUUUAGAAAGUAACUUUCUUAGGGGUCAUUCAAUUAGUAUGUAAGCACAAAGGGGGAGGAGAUCAAGCAAAACCGUUUGAUUGUAUACAAGGGAGAAGGGGGAUUGGCACAUUUAAAUAAUUCAGUUGAAGGUUUUCUAGUAUGUUUUUAAUUUGUUUGAUUUAUCAACUUUUAUCGACUUUUUAAUAAAAUGCUGUGUGUAUAGCUGUUUCCUGUAGUGAUAUAAAAAUGUAUUUCUUGAUGGUUUCGAAUGUGUUGAAACAUUCCAUUAGAAAUGGGAGGAGGGGGGGGGGGGUCAAAUAACUGAGAGUACAUAAGCUUGGUGCCUUAUUCUAUGGGCUUUCCAUAAGUUGGCAAAGACGUUGCAUUCUCUUUGCAAGACUGGAAUGAACAAAUACGACAUAAGCUUCCUAUCCCUAAAACUUUGAAGAACAUAAGCUCUUGAAUUUAGUAAUAAAGCCAGUGAGGUUUUGAUAUCUUUCUCCAUUCUCUCAUGAAGGUGUAGUGAUUUAAAUAUUGUAAAACAGGCCAUAUUUGCACUCAUUCAUCGAUCAUGCCAGCACCACGAUAUCCCCUUACGUCAUUCACGGCAUCGCAUACCGUAGGACAUUCCCUUCACCAUUGUACACACGUUCACAGAUCUAUGUCAUGCUGAUUUCUUCCCAAGUCUAGAUCUUUCCUUCUCCAUUGCAUCAUCAUUACAUCAUCACAACACAUCAUUACGCAGCACAUUUAUUUUGUAUAUAGGUAUGUUAAUUUGUAUGUAAGUCAGUCAGUCAAGUUCAGUUCAGAUCAGAGUUAUACAGCAAUACACUGUCUCUCUCACUGGCUCCGUGUUCUCUGUACGUUAAAUAAGAUUCGUCGAAGUAACACCAACGAUGGAAAGUCAUAGGAUAUGAUAGGAACCAUUGAAUUCUUGCCACAUAAUAGCGUUCCUAUAAUGGUGACCACGACGUGACACGCAAACCCAUUGUUGGUCAAUUCUACUUCAAAUACAACAUCAACUCUUCGAUGGUAUCAGACACAUCAAGUUUUUCAUCAACAAGGAUUCGUCAACAUCAACUCAGCUUCACACACACAACGCAACUCAUUUGGAUUCAUCGACAACCAUCAGCACUCGACUCACAGUAGUGCCCUCAAACACAUCACCGCACUCGACUCACCGUAGUGCUCUUCAACACAAGCAACAAACGCACUCGACUCACCGUAGUGCCCUCAACGCAUCGCAGCACUCGACUCACCGCAGUGCCUCCACGCAACAUCAACGCUCAAAAACUCCUCAACAAGCUGGUUCCUGGUCAUCCAACGUAAAAACCUUGCACAAGUCUCCGAAUUCACGAACAGAAGAAAACACUGGCUAUGUCUCGAACUCUCAUCGAUUUACAACGGUUGGACAUUUAAAUUUCGAACACUUAAAUUUUUUAUCGCAUUUCACUAUAUUUAAUUCAUCUCUUUACAAUAUUCAAAUUUAUUCCUAGUACUUUUCCCCUUUCGUAUCGAAUGCUUCACAACCGCUUGCAUUCUAAGGGGGGAGCUAUUGUAGUGAUUUAAAUAUUGUAAAACAGGCCAUAUUUGCACUCAUUCAUCGAUCAUGCCAGCACCAUGAUAUCCCCUUACGUCAUUCACGGCAUCGCAUACCGUAGGACAUUCCCUUCACCAUUGUACACACGUUCACACAUCUAUGUCAUGCUGAUUUCUUCCCAAGUCUAGAUCUUUCCUUCUCCAUUGCAUCAUCAUUACAUCAUCACAACACAUCAUUACGCAGCACAUUUAUUUUGUAUAUAGGUAUGUUAAUUUGUAUGUAAGUCAGUCAGUCAAGUUCAGUUCAGAUCAGAGUUAUACAGCAAUACACUGUCUCUCUCACUGGCUCCGUGUUCUCUGUACGUUAAAUAAGAUUCGUCGAAGUAACACCAACGAUGGAAAGUCAUAGGAUAUGAUGGGAACCAUUGAAUUCUUGCUAAAUAAUAGCGUUCCUAUAAAGGUCCCUCCACCACCUUUGAAUCUUGUUGGAGGUAGACGGUCCAAAUACAACAGAAUCAGCAGGUUCAUUCAAAUCCGCUUGCUUGUUACGCAAAUAAACAUGAAUUAUGUCCAUUGUGCCAGUUUCAGUACCUUUAUCCAGCCCAAGGUAAUUUGGCAUCAUCUCAGUUUCAACCAAAUGCUGCAUGUAGUAGUGACCAAUCACAACUGGAUCAGAAUUUCCUUUUUCAUAAAUGAAGGAAUAUGAUUUUACGUGAGAAGGUGUCAAGGCAGCCAUAAAUAGCCAAGGGGAAUGUGGAAUUUUGACACCCCAUCAUCUUGUCAUGGCCAUCAAGUGAAAAGACGAUCUAACUUGAUGUUAGAUCCAUCAGAAACAAAUGGCUGUUUAGGUUUCUUUGUUUUUUUCUUCAUACUAUUUCUCUUAUCCAACGCUUGCGGGUUGAUAUCCCACAUAACAUCAUGAAAUAGAGCCCCCUUGCAAGAUUUUUUUAGAAAUCAGCCGUGUUCAAAAAAUGAAUUUUUAUUCUAACAGUUUUACAGUUUAACGUUUCAAGCAAAACAAUUCCAAUGGCAAACAAUUUGCAACUCCUUAUUCUAAAACUAUCACAAGAAUCAAUAUGUAGACCUUUCACUGAAAAAUCACAAGAUUUCAAAACCCUUGCAAUAUUUUUCAAAGUUGAAUUUAAUUUUUUGAAAAUUCACCUUGUUAUAACACGUCAUCAAUUUGAGAAACAUGCGGGUAGUUCCUGCUAUCAAAAUUCAUCAGCAUUUGUAUCUCCUAAAUUUAAAAUUGCAACGGACUGGAAGAGAUGGGCGUUAAGAAUUGUUUGAAAUCUGAAUUCUUAUGUCACAAGGACAAGUAUAACCCAAAAAUUCACCUUCAAACGCAGUAUGUUAAUCAUGAUUAAAAAAAUUGGCAAAGCCGGAUUCCAACACUCACAAAAACACAGUAAAUAUUUCUUAUUUGCUUUUGAGUAGCUUUUGUUCCCUUAAUGUACAUUUAUUACGAUUCCGUUUGGGCGCCCCACAAUACUUAGAUGCCUGUGCUUCAGCAGAGAUGCUCAGGACAUAGUACAGUCGCGAAAAAGGUCAUUAUGUAUCAGUUUAAAAGCUUUUCCGGCUACGUGGAGCAUUUUUACAUGAACAGUUGAAUGCUAUUGAGAGUUUUUGUCUUGAAAGAGGAAAUUCUCUCAUUUUUUGUGUUGAUCUAAGCUCUAGUAAAGACUGCAUGCGUUGUUCGUCACAUUUUUUCAAACCUAAGCUGAGUCUAAUGUGAUAUUCAGAUUUAAAACAAUUGAAAUAUGCAAAAUUAAAAAAUUAAAAAACCUUGGUGUAGUUUGAUGUAGAUUAUUUUCCAUACCUAGAACCAAACGACGUGGGAUUUAUAUGAGCAACGCGCGGCGUUCGACCUGAUUCAAAGACAUACCAGUGGAGCCUGCCAGUCCUGAAAAUGAACACUAGAAAAAAGGGAAAAUACAUAAUUAUUUGGGUCAGGUGGGUGUAUAAAUCCCACGACGUUUGGUUCUAGGUAUGGAAAAUAAUUUACAUCAAACUACAGCUAGGUUUGUUUAAUUUUUUAAUUAUUUUCCAUAACUAGAACCCAAACUCCUUUCGGUAUUUAUACGAGACUUCAAAGAGACUGGCAAUGUGUUUAUCAAGAAGACUUGAACUGAGAAAUGAUCGAUUGUACGCACACAAAAAAUCAAUAUCAACAAUCAAAAUUGGCUUGUAGCAGUAACUUUGGUACUGCUGUGUAUUAAAUACAGGACAAAUAGCCUUGCUAUCAGGGAAUGCACGGAAAUCAAGAGGUGACUGAUGAAAACCAGGUCUAGUUGUUUUGAGAACUUGAUCAAUAUUACAAACAACUCUGUCAUCAGAAACAUCCAUAAGUCUGAUGUCAAUAGCAGCAAAUGUUUGGUCUCUCUGUCCUGAUAGAAGACAAAACAAUGUUACAAGACGAAAGGCGGAAAAAUGUGAGCGGCCCGCUCGGAAAAUAAGCGGUUUUUCCUCCUGAUGGAAAUUGCUUGGCGGAAAAUAAGGGACGGAGCGUGGGAGAGACGAGACAAGAUGGCCACCGUAAGUUCAGAAAUGAAAAUAAAGCUUCUGUUGUUGGUUCUGCUGCGGAGAAGAUUAAGAAGAAAUGAAGAAAAAUACAAGAAAAAAAUGUGGGUCAGAAAAAUUUACCAAGACUGUCACUUAAGGGUGAAUUUCACUUGUUAGUGAACGAGUUAAGAUUAUUUGAUCAUGAGCUUUUCUUUGCUUGUUUUCACAUGUCACCAUCUACCUUUGAAAAACUAUUAUCUUGGGUUGCUCCACACAUAAUAAGACAGACAACAAGGUUUCGUGAGCCAGUACAUCCAAAUGAGCGCCUUGCUGUGACUUUACGGUACUUAGCUACGGGUGAUGCCAAGUCAACAAUAGCCUUAAGCUAUCGAAUUAGCCCUACUACAGUUGGAAGGAUUGUUGAAGAGACUUGUAAAGUAGUGUGGAUGGUGCUUCUGGAAAGGAAUUUUCUAUCAGUUCCAAAUAGUCAAGCUGCAUGGAAAACAAUUGCCAAAGCUUUCAAUGAAAAAUGGAAUUUUCCACAUUGCUUAGGGGCAAUAGAUGGGAAGCAUGUUGCAAUGCAAGCCCCUUCACGAAGUGUUUUACAAUUACAAAAGAACACAUAGCAUCGUUCUUUUGGCGACCUGUGAUGCUAGUUAUAAGUUUGUCUUGGUUGAUGUAGGUGAUGCUGGGAGACAAAGCGAUGGUGGGGUGUACACAAACAGCAAACUUGGCUUUGCAAUUGAAAAUCAAAAAUUGAAUCUCCCCCCACCGGAAGUGAUACAUGGAACUCAAAAAGUGUUCCCAUUUCUAUUUGUUGCUGAUGAAGCAUUUUCAUUGAAGCAGCAUAUGAUAAAGCCAUACCCUUGCCAUAGCCUUGAUGAACAUAAGCGUGUUUUCAAUUACAGGCUAUCAAGAGCAAGGCGAGUCAUAGAAAAUACCUUUGGAAUCGCGGCUGCAAGAUUUAGGAUUUUUCGUCAACCUGUAAUUGGAAAGGUUGACACUGUCAUUGCUAUAACGAAAGCCAUUGUGGCUUUGCACAAUUUUUGAUGUCAUUGGAUGAGACUGACAGAUGCAUAUACUGUCCUUCAAAUUUUGUAGAUAGGGAUCAAGACGUUGGAAUGUGGAGAGAAGAGGCCCAGUCUUGUGAAGGCUUAAUAGAGAUCCAAAGUCAAGGUUCCAAUAACUAUUCAAAGGAAGCUAAAAUAGUUAGAGAUGACUUCAAAGAUUAUUUUUGCAAAGAGGGCACCCUUAGUUGGCAAUGGCAAACAGUCAGAUCAACUGCUAAGAGAUUUGAUGAAGAAUAAACUGGAUAAUCUCCAACAUUUUAUUGAAAUAUCUUCAAAAUAACCAUAAAUAUGCUAUCAGACUCUCUUGUUUAGAGUAAAUUCCCCCUCUUCAUAUAAGUGACACAAAAACCAGCUCCCUCCAUUUAUUACUUGAACAAUUCCUAAGAAGAACAUUACUAUU